rnacentral:tRNA from 1 species
GAGGCGUGGCCGAGUGGUCGAAGGCGUCGGUUUUGAAAACCGAAGACUCGCAAGGGUCCGGGGGUUCGAAUCCCUCCGCCUCC